rnacentral:rRNA from 1 species
CCUACGGGGGGCUGCAGUGAGGAAUAUUGGUCAAUGGGCGCUAGCCUGAACCAGCCAAGUAGCGUGAAGGAUGACUGCCCUACGGGUUGUAAACUUCUUUUAUAUGGGAAUAAAGUGCAGUAUGUAUACUGCUUUGCAUGUACCUUAUGAAUAAGGAUCGGCUAACUCCGUGCCAGCAGCCGCGGUAAUACGGAGGAUUCGAGCGUUAUCCGGAUUUAUUGGGUUUAAAGGGAGCGUAGGUGGGUUGUUAAGUCAGUUGUGAAAGUUUGCGGCUCAACCGUAAAAUUGCAGUUGAUACUGGCAGCCUUGAGUACAGUAGAGGUAGGCGGAAUUCGUGGUGUAGCGGUGAAAUGCUUAGAUAUCACGAAGAACUCCGAUUGCGAAGGCAGCCUGCUAGACUGUAACUGACGCUGAUGCUCGAAAGUGUGGGUAUCAAACAGGAUUAGAUACCCCUGUAGUC